rnacentral:rRNA from 1 species
AUUGAACGCUGGCGGCAGGCCUAACACAUGCAAGUCGAGCGAGCGGCGGACGGGUGAGGAAUGUCUGGGAAACUGCCUGAUGGAGGGGGAUAACUACUGGAAACGGUAGCUAAUACCGCAUACCAUCAGACGUGCCCAGUUGGGAGUAGAAAGGAGGUGGGGUAACGGCUCACCUAGGCGACGAUCCCUAGCUGGUCUGAGAGGAUGACCAGCCACACUGGGCGUGAGACCCGGUCCAAACUCCUACGGGAGGCGGCAGUGGGGGAUAUUGCGCAAUGGGGGCAAACCUGGUGCAGCCAUGCCGCGUGUGUGAAGAAGGCCUUCGGGUUGUAAAGCGCUUUCAUCGGGGAGGCGUUACCCGCAGAAGAAGCACCGGCUAACUCCGUGCCAGCAGCCGCGGUAAUAC